rnacentral:rRNA from 1 species
GAAGGAACGCUGGCAGCGUGCAUAACACAUGCAAGUCGAACGAUGAAGCAUUCUUCGGAAUGUGGAAGAGUGGCGAACGGGUGAGGAACACGUAAGAAUCUGCCCCUCGGUCGGGGACAACUUUUGGAAACGAAAGCUAAUACCCGAUACGCUGUGGAGUGAAAGAAUUUCGCCGAGGGAUGAUCUUGCGUCUGAUUAGCUAGUUGGUGCGGUAAUGGCGCACCAAGGCGACGAUCAGUAGCUGGUCUGAGAGGAUGAACAGCCACAUUGGAACUGAGACACGGUCCAAACUCCUACGGGAGGCAGCAGUGGGGAAUUUUCCGCAAUGGACGAAAGUCUGACGGAGCGACGCUGCGUGAAGGAUGACGGCCUGCGGGUUGUAAACUUCUUUUCUCGAAGAAGAAGCUCUGACGGUAUUCGAGGAAUAAGCAUCGGCUAACUCCGUGCCAGCAGCCGCGGUAAGACGGAGGAUGCAAGUGUUAUUCGGAAUGAUUGGGCGUAAAGCGUCUGUAGGCUGUAUAGAAAGUCUUUUGUUAAAUACCUCGGCUCAACCGAGAUCCAGCAAAGGAAACUUCUAUACUUGAGGUAAGUAGAGGUACAGGGAAUUCCCGGUGGAGCGGUGAAAUGCGUAGAUAUCGGGAGGAACACCAAUAUGGCGAAGGCACUGUACUGGGCUUUACCUGACGCUCAGAGACGAAAGCUAAAGGAGUGAUUAGGAUUAGAUACCCUAGUAAUUUUAGCCGUAAACGAUGAAAACUCACUGCCGAGCGAAAUACAACGAGCGGUGGUCAAGCUAACGCGUGAAGUUUUCCGCCUGGGGAUUACGCUUGCAAAAGUGAAACUCAAAG